rnacentral:tRNA from 1 species
GUCUCUGUAGCGCAAUAGAUAGCGCGUUGGAUUUCUAAUUCAAAGGUCGUGGUUUCGAACCCCGCCUGGGAUG